rnacentral:rRNA from 1 species
GACGAACGCUGGCGGCGUGCCUAAUACAUGCAAGUCGAGCGCAGGAAAUCAUCCGAACCCUUCGGGGGGACGUUGAUGGAAUGAGCGGCGGACGGGUGAGUAACACGUAAAGAACCUGCCCUCAGGUCUGGGAUAACCACGAGAAAUCGGGGCUAAUACCGGAUGGGUCAUCGGACCGCAUGGUCCGAGGAUGAAAGGCGCUUCAGCGUCGCCUGGGGAUGGCUUUGCGGUGCAUUAGCUAGUUGGUGGGGUAAUGGCCCACCAAGGCGACGGUGCAUAGCCGACCUGAGAGGGUGAUCGGCCACACUGGGACUGAGACACGGCCCAGACUCCUACGGGAGGCAGCAGUAGGGAAUCUUCCACAAUGGACGAAAGUCUGAUGGAGCAACGCCGCGUGAACGAUGAAGGCCUUCGGGUCGUAAAGUUCUGUUGUAAGGGAAGAACAAGUGCCGCAGGCAAUGGCGGCACCUUGACGGUACCUUGCGAGAAAGCCACGGCUAACUACGUGCCAGCCGCCGCAGUAAGAC